rnacentral:rRNA from 1 species
UACAGAGGCCUCAAGCGUUGUUCGGAAUCACUGGGCGUAAAGGGUGCGUAGGCGGCGCGGAAAGUCAGGGGUGAAAUCCCGGAGCUCAACUCCGGAACUGCCUUUGAUACUCCCGCGCUUGAGAACUGGGAGGGAGAGUCGGAAUUCGACGGUGGAGCAGUGAAAUGCGUGGAGUAUCGUGAGGAACACUAGUGGCGAAGGCGGAUCUCUGGACAGUAUCUGACGCUGAGGCACGAGGCCAGGGAGCGAACGGG